rnacentral:tRNA from 1 species
GCCCGGGUGGCUCAGUCGGUUAAGCGUCCGACUUGGGCUCGGGUCAUGAUCUCACAGUGCGUGGGUUCGAGCCCCGCGUCGGGCU